UACGUAGGUGGCGAGCGUUGUCCGGAUUUACUGGGCGUAAAGCGCGCGCAGGCGGACUGAUCAGUCUGGGGUGAAAUCUCACGGCUCAACUGUGAGCGGUCCCUGGAUACUGUCAGUCUUGAGAUGUCUAGAGGAGAGCGGAAUUCCCGGUGUAGUGGUGGAAUGCGUAGAUAUCGGGAAGAACACCAGUGGCGAAAGCGGCUCUCUGGGGACCAUCUGACGCUGAGGCGCGAAAGCGUGGGGAGCGAACCGG
rnacentral:rRNA from 1 species